CAGUAGCCGGGUAAUACAGAGGGUGCGAGCGUUAAUCGGAUUUACUGGGCGUAAAGCGUGCGUAGGCGGCUUCUUAAGUCGGAUGUGAAAUCCCUGAGCUUAACUUAGGAAUUGCAUUCGAUACUGGGAAGCUAGAGUAUGGGAGAGGAUGGUAGAAUUCCAGGUGUAGCGGUGAAAUGCGUAGAGAUCUGGAGGAAUACCGAUGGCGAAGGCAGCCAUCUGGCCUAAUACUGACGCUGAGGUACGAAAGCAUGGGGAGCAAACAGGAUUAGAUACCCCAGUAGUCCCUGUCUCUUAUACA
rnacentral:rRNA from 1 species